AUUGAACGCUGGCGGCAGGCUUAACACAUGCAAGUCGAGCGGGGGAAGGUAGCUUGCUACCGGACCUAGCGGCGGACGGGUGAGUAAUGCUUAGGAAUCUGCCUAUUAGUGGGGGACAACAUCUCGAAAGGGAUGCUAAUACCGCAUACGUCCUACGGGAGAAAGCAGGGGAUCUUCGGACCUUGCGCUAAUAGAUGAGCCUAAGCCGGAUUAGCUAGUUGGUGGGGUAAAGGCCUACCAAGGCGACGAUCUGUAGCGGGUCUGAGAGGAUGAUCCGCCACACUGGGACUGAGACACGGCCCAGGCUCCUACGGGAGGCAGCAGUGGGGAAUAUUGGACAAUGGGGGGAACCCUGAUCCAGCCAUGCCGCGUGUGUGAAGAAGGCCUUAUGGUUGUAAAGCACUUUAAGCGAGGAGGAGGCUACUUUAGUUAAUACCUAGAGAUAGUGGACGUUACUCGCAGAAUAAGCACCGGCUAACUCUGUGCCAGCCGCCGCGGUAA
rnacentral:rRNA from 1 species